rnacentral:lncRNA from 1 species
GGAGAAGGGGAAGGGUUCCGCGAGGGUCCUGGGGUGUGGAGGGCGCCCUCCCUGGCAAGUGAAGGUGAGAGGCUCCAGGAGGACCCCCGGCGCAAACCGGAAGGAGGGCGCAGGGCAGCGAUUCACUCACUUGGGGCGUCCCCUGUGGGUAUUCGCGCAUUCCUGCUAGGGCGGUGAGCGCACGCUCGCUGACUCUGCGGCGCUCGCACAGCCCCCCAGAACACAGCGGGAUUGGGUGCAGAGUGAAGGAGCUCUAGGCGAUUUUCCUUCUCUCCCCGGAGCUGGGAAAAGAGCCAGCCCAGUGUCCCGCACGCCUGGCUCUGCUCUGCUCAGAGCUCGCCGGUGAGCACAGAGCCGGUCGAGCAGAGGCGGCGCACGGUUCGGUCCUGUCACCAUUUCUUCUCAUGCUGACCUGCCCAGGAACCGAGGACUGCGGCAGCACCACGGAGAUCCAACUCAUUUGUUUGGAAAGGGAUCCUUGUGGAGUGGCACCUUGGAAAGCACCCAUCUGAAGCAACGUUGGGUGGAUUGGUUAUGAUUUUCCCAGGACAUGUAAGUAAAUUUACCAUGCUUUAACACGAGUGUUCCUGGUGUAA